UUAUCAUGUUGGAUAAUCCUUACCUGUAUUUCUUCUUUGGAAGGAAGAUUAUAAUAUGGUGAUUGAAAUUCACACCUGAUUAAUGCUUCUGCAUAAUCAGCUUGCAACACUGUGAUCGCUCCUAUCUGAU
rnacentral:snoRNA from 1 species